GAUGAACGCUGGCGGCGUGCCUAAUACAUGCCAGUCGAGCGAACAGACGAGGAGCUUGCUCCUCUGACGUUAGCGGCGGACGGGUGAGUAACUCGUGGAUAACCUACCUAUAAGACUGGGAUAACUUCGGGAAACCGGAGCUAAUACCGGAUAACAUGUUGAACCGCAUGGUUCAACAGUGAAAGACGGUCUUGCUGUCACUUAUAGAUGGAUCCGCGCCGCAUUAGCUAGUUGGUAAGGUAACGGCUUACUAAGGCAACGAUGCGUAGCCGACCUGAGAGGGUGAUCGGCCACACUGGAACUGAGACACGGUCCAGACUCCUACGGGAGGCAGCAGUAGGGAAUCUUCCGCAAUGGGCGAAAGCCUGACGGAGCAACGCCGCGUGAGUGAAGAAGGUCUUCGGAUCGUAAAACUCUGUUAUUAGGGAAGAACAAAUGUGUAAGUAACUAUGCACGUCUUGACGGUACCUAAUCAGAAAGCCACGGCUAACUACGUG
rnacentral:rRNA from 1 species